AACAGCUGCCUGCCUGCUGGCCUUGCUUUUACCUGUUUUCAUUGCAUUGAGCACCAUCCAGAGCUAUCUGCCAUCUAGAAAGUACUGUAAGAUUUAAUUAAUUACAAAAUUUCUUGGAAAAGACCUGUAACAUAGACAGUAGAGUUAUAAACAUUUUAUUUUGCUUUUAUUUUUUCUUUUUGAAAUACAAAAUGUGCACAUUGAGUUUACACAAACACGCGAUGGCAAAUUUCAGUGUACAUGUAUUGUACUACUCUUAAUUUCUACACUGGUGAUAGCAGGGCAGCUUUCAACAUCCUAUCUCUACACCAGAAUAGAUACCUGAUUUAUUGUUGCAAAGACAGUUGCAAAUUUCCUCCUUCUGUAGCCUCUUGGUCUUUGUGAUAUUUCUACAAAACAGGGAUGAUGUGUGUGGCUUUAGUAAUGUGGCAACUUUACAGUUUUGGCUAAGAUGAUUAAAAAUAAUCUGAAUUAUGAUGAGCUAAAUCAUACUGUAAUCUGGAUUAGUUGUUCAGCACUUAUUUUCUACUAAAUCUUGGUAGUAGUUGUCAAUGUAAUGGAACCACUGGUGCUUUCAAAGUGAAUUUUGCUUGCUAAGAAUUUUGCUUGCUAAUUUUGCUUGCUGUUUGUUUGUUCCUAGUAGACAGUGGGGUAGUCAAGGUUUCUUUCUUUGUCCCUGAAUGGCUUGUAAUAUAAACAAACAUGCUGUAAGGAAGUCAGGGGAAAGAGGACAGAUUUGGCCUUUAAUGCUGUUAGGAUUACUUGUUAUUAAGCAUUACGAUAUACUGGAGGAUAAUUACUAUAUACUGGAGGAUAGAUAUCCUGACCCUUUGCAUAUGUCUGUAAACAUCCUUGUGUUGUCUUCUUCAACUUCCACUUAAUGAUUGAUACAAUAGAAAACAGCCUGUAAGAAAGAUUGAACAAAUCCAAAAUUAUUAUAUAGGCCUUGGCUGUAACAUAUUAUGGAAAAUUAAAUGCUUAUUAAAAUAAGUUUUAUUAGGCAUAUGCUGAUAUCUGAUAAUAAACUAAUUUUUAAAUGUUUAAAAAUGCCAGAUAAAAUUAAUUAAUUUCUAACAGAAGGUGGGAAGGCCAUAGAAACGAAACUGGAACUAUGUGUUUUUUUAAUUGUUGUAAUCUUGUUUACUUAAAGUAUAUAAAUGGAAUUACAGCAUUCAAACAUGAAAAUUAAUUUAAUUUCUGGAAAUUAAAUGCAGAUGUCACUAUAUUAGAAAACCAUUCAAAAUCCUAGGACUGAAUACAUACAAAUGAGUAGCAAAAAACACUGAUAUUUUAAAAUCACUGAUAUGUGAAAGCCUCAAUAAUCCCAUGGCUAAGGAACCAAUAAAACUAUAUGCCAGAUUCUAUUUCUUUUGAAUAUUCACAGAGUAUGAAAUGAGUUAGACCAUCCCAUGAACUCAGUGGCAUUAUGAAAAGGAUGCAAAUUUAUAACUAACUGAAAACUCAAAUCUUUUGGGGAUUGCUUUAUAUUAAAACAAAGCUUGUUUGCAUAAUAUGCUUCAGUGUCAAGCUGAGCAAUCUAUGCUAAAAGUGGUAGCUCCAACUUUAAGGGUGGUAGAAUAGUUCACAUUUGUCUGUUGGAUUCAGGAUCUAUUUGACAACUUAAAUCACAUUUUGUUAAAUCACAUUUUCAAAGAGCUGCAUGGAGCGCAUUAUGUUUUCAUCCUGUAAGGGAGAAACAUAGAGCGAUUAAAUUCAGCAUAUCUGCAAGGAAAAGUACACUAUUUUGCCCCUGAGUAUUG
rnacentral:lncRNA from 1 species